rnacentral:rRNA from 1 species
AUUGAACGCUGGCGGCAGGCCUAACACAUGCAAGUCGAGCGGAUGAAGGGAGCUUGCUCCUGGAUUCAGCGGCGGACGGGUGAGUAAUGCCUAGGAAUCUGCCUGGUAGUGGGGGAUAACGUCCGGAAACGGGCGCUAAUACCGCAUACGUCCUGAGGGAGAAAGUGGGGGAUCUUCGGACCUCACGCUAUCAGAUGAGCCUAGGUCGGAUUAGCUAGUUGGUGGGGUAAAGGCCUACCAAGGCGACGAUCCGUAACUGGUCUGAGAGGAUGAUCAGUCACACUGGAACUGAGACACGGUCCAGACGCCUACGGGAGGCAGCAGUGGGGAAUAUGGGACAAUGGGCGAAAGCCUGAUCCAGCCAUGCCGCGUGUGUGAAGAAGGUCUUCGGAUUGUAAAGCACUUUAAGUUGGGAGGAAGGGCAGUAAGUUAAUACCUUGCUGUUUUGACGUUACCAACAGAAUAAGCACCGGCUAACUUCGUG